GCAGCCCAGCAGUGGAAGUAGCAAACAGGAGUCUUAGCGCUGUAUGGCAUGGACUUGCUGUAGGCACAUCUCACAGCCCAUCCGUUGCCAUGAGAACAUCCAGCUACUUUGAUUAUGAAUGGAGAGAGAAACUAUAUGCCAUAUGCUCCAACAUAUUCUACCCUUCAGAUGCUUGGAACACAUGCUCUUGAAAACAAGUGUGUUUUCCUUCUCUAAAGCCAAAGAAUACAUGUGGAUGGCAAGGCUUUGUCUGCUGGGGUGCUCUUCUGAGCUCCUCUGAAACCCGUUCAUCAGUUAUGUUGUCAUUGAUGUCCUGUGGACUUGGAGUGACCAAAGGCUUCUUGUACUGCUUUCUCCAGUAGCUCAAUACCAGAAGAGGAUGCAUGUGGAAAACUGGUUUUCUUCCAUUCCCCUUUGUUACCAGGUAUCAUCCAACUAGUGUGCAAUGACUACAAAAACUAGAGUGGCCUGCCUUGGAAGGACUGUCCCAAACAGGGAUAUCUGAUGAACUGUGGCCAAUGGGACAAUUCUUAUUCUCCCAUCUGUGGGAGAAAUGCUAAAUAAGGAAAACAUGCCUGAGCUGAUCUCAGGGCUCAUUACUACUUAAAAUGUCCCAUGGCUCACAGUGAAGGCUUUGGGGAUACCUACCUGCUGCACAGCCUGCCUCUGAUUGUUGUAGAGGUGCCUUUUUGUGUUGUGCUAACAGUGAUCUUCACCAGUGAGACUCCAAUCUGACUUCUGCUCUUAUCAGAUAUCAGCUUCAAGUACCAGAUGCUUUAGAAGGAGGCGUGGAGGCAGAUGUUUUGAUUAUUGACCGUCCCCAAGAGAGAUCUUCUCCAUCCUGGUAAUUUGUGUGAUGGCAGCACCAAUAACCCCCAGCCAGAUUCAGA